rnacentral:rRNA from 1 species
GGAUUAGAUACCCUGGUAGUCCACGCCGUAAACGAUGAGUGCUAGGUGUUGGGGAGACUCAGUGCCGCAGCUAACGCAAUAAGCACUCCGCCUGGGGAGUACGACCGCAAGGUUGAAACUCAAAGGAAUUGACGGGGACCCGCACAAGCAGCGGAGCAUGUGGUUUAAUUCGAAGCAACGCGAAGAACCUUACCAGGUCUUGACAUCCUCUGACAAUCUGAGAGAUCAGACUUUCCCUUCGGGGACAGAGAGACAGGUGGUGCAUGGUUGUCGUCAGCUCGUGCCG